rnacentral:rRNA from 1 species
GAGUAAUGUCUGGGAAACUGCCUGAUGGAGGGGGAUAACUACUGGAAACGGUGGCUAAUACCGCAUAACGUCGCAAGACCAAAGAGGGGGACCUUCGGGCCUCUUGCCAUCAGAUGUGCCCAGAUGGGAUUAGCUUGUUGGUGAGGUAACGGCUCACCAAGGCGACGAUCCCUAGCUGGUCUGAGAGGAUGACCAGCCACACUGGAACUGAGACACGGUCCAGACUCCUACGGGAGGCAGCAGUGGGGAAUAUUGCACAAUGGGCGCAAGCCUGAUGCAGCCAUGCCGCGUGUAUGAAGAAGGCCUUCGGGUUGUAAAGUACUUUCAGCGGGGAGGAAGGUGUUGUGGUUAAUAACCGCAGCAAUUGACGUUACCCGCAGAAGAAGCACCGGCUAACUCCGUGCCAGCAGCCGCGGUAAUACGGAGGGUGCAAGCGUUAAUCGGAAUUACUGGGCGUAAAGCGCACGCAGGCGGUCUGUCAAGUCGGAUGUGAAAUCCCCGGGCUCAACCUGGGAACUGCAUUCGAAACUGGCAGGCUUGAGUCUUGUAGAGGGGGGUAGAAUUCCAGGUGUAGCGGUGAAAUGCGUAGAGAUCUGGAGGAAUACCGGUGGCGAAGGCGGCCCCCUGGACAAAGACUGACGCUCAGGUGCGAAAGCGUGGGGAGCAAACAGGAUUAGAUACCCUGGUAGUCCACGCCGUAAACGAUGUCUACUUGGAGGUUGUGCCCUUGAGGCGUGGCUUCCGGAGCUAACGCGUUAAGUAGACCGCCUGGGGAGUACGGCCGCAAGGUUAAAACUCAAAUGAAUUGACGGGGGCCCGCACAAGCGGUGGAGCAUGUGGUUUAAUUCGAUGCAACGCGAAGAACCUUACCUGGUCUUGACAUCCACAGAACUUUCCAGAGAUGGAUUGGUGCCUUCGGGAACUGUGAGACAGGUGCUGCAUGGCUGUCGUCAGCUCGUGUUGUGAAAUGUUGGGUUAAGUCCCGCAACGAGCGCAACCCUUAUCCUUUGUUGCCAGCGAUUAGGUCGGGAACUCAAAGGAGACUGCCAGU